rnacentral:rRNA from 1 species
UGCUAGUUGUACGAGCUUAGACUCGUUGCGGAAAGCUCAGUAACACGUGGACAAACUACCCUACGGAGAGCCAUAACCUCGGGAAACUGAGGCUAAUAGUUCAUAGGGGAGUCGCGCUGGAAGUGCCGACUCUCCCAAACGCUCCGGCGCCGUAGGAUGUGUCUGCGGCCGAUUAGGUAGACGGUGGGGUAACGGCCCACCGUGCCGAUAAUCGGUACGGGUUGUGAGAGCAAGAGCCCGGAGACGGAAUCUGAGACAAGAUUCCGGGCCCUACGGGGCGCAGCAGGCGCGAAACCUUUACACUGUACGCAAGUGCGAUAAGGGGACCCCAAGUGCGAGGGCAUAUAGUCCUCGCUUUUCCCGACUGUAAGGCGGUCGGGGAAUAAGAGCUGGGCAAGACCGGUGCCAGCCGCCGCGGUAAUACCGGCAGCUCAAGUGAUGACCGAUAUUAUUGGGCCUAAAGCGUCCGUAGCCGGCCACGAAGGUCUAUCGGGAAAUCCGCCAGCUUAACUGGCGGGCGUCCGGUAGAAACCACGUGGCUUGGGACCGGAAGGCUCGAGGGGUACGUCCGGGGUAGGAGUGAAAUCCUGUAAUCCUGGACGGACCACCGAUGGCGAAAGCACCUCGAGAAGACGGAUCCGACGGUGAGGGACGAAAGCUAGGGUCUCGAACCGGAUUAGAUACCCGGGUAGUCCUAGCUGUAAACGAUGCUCGCUAGGUGUGGCACAGGCUACGAGCCUGUGCUGUGCCGUAGGGAAGCCGAGAAGCGAGCCGCCUGGGAAGUACGUCCGCAAGGAUGAAACUUAA